AGCAACUUUACCCCAAGCAGUAAUCCUAAUAUAGGACUUACUGUCAUUAAAACCGCUCGAAUCAAUGCACGCUAAGGAAAAGGACGCGCCAAUAUUGUUGGUACGGGUUUGCAAUUUAUUAGGAUCAAACGAGAGCUUACCAAAUAAAAAAAC
rnacentral:sRNA from 1 species